rnacentral:rRNA from 1 species
AGCUCCUUAUGGAGCGAAGUCUUUGAUUCCCCGCUGCCAAGAAAAGCUUCUAGCGAGAUAAAAGGUGCCUGUACCGCAAACCGACACAGGUAGGCGAGGAGAGAAUCCUAAGGUGUGCGAGAGAACUCUGGUUAAGGAACUCGGCAAAAUGACCCCGUAACUUCGGGAGAAGGGGUGCUUUCUUAACGGAAAGCCGCAGUGAAUAGGCCCAAGCGACUGUUUAGCAAAAACACAGGUCUCUGCGAAGCCGUAAGGCGAAGUAUAGGGGCUGACACCUGCCCGGUGCUGGAAGGUUAAGGAGAGGGGUUAGCGCAAGCGAAGCUCUGAACUGAAGCCCCAGUAAACGGCGGCCGUAACUAUAACGGUCCUAAGGUAGCGAAAUUCCUUGUCGGGUAAGUUCCGACCCGCACGAAAGGUGUAACGAUUUGGGCACUGUCUCAACCAGAGACUCGGUGAAAUUAUAGUACCUGUGAAGAUGCAGGUUACCCGCGACAGGACGGAAAGACCCCGUGGAGCUUUACUGUAGCCUGAUAUUGAAUUUUGGUACAGCUUGUACAGGAUAGGCGGGAGCCUUUGAAGCCGGAGCGCUAGCUUCGGUGGAGGCGCUGGUGGGAUACCGCCCUGGCUGUAUUGAAAUUCUAACCUACGGGUCUUAUCGACCCGGGAGACAGUGUCAGGUGGGCAGUUUGACUGGGGCGGUCGCCUCCUAAAAAGUAACGGAGGCGCCCAAAGGUUCCCUCAGAAUGGUUGGAAAUCAUUCGUAGAGUGCAAAGGCAUAAGGGAGCUUGACUGCGAGACCUACAAGUCGAGCAGGGACGAAAGUCGGGCUUAGUGAUCCGGUGGUUCCGCAUGGAAGGGCCAUCGCUCAACGGAUAAAAGCUACCCCGGGGAUAACAGGCUUAUCUCCCCCAAGAGUCCACAUCGACGGGGAGGUUUGGCACCUCGAUGUCGGCUCAUCGCAUCCUGGGGCUGUAGUCGGUCCCAAGGGUUGGGCUGUUCGCCCAUUAAAGCGGUACGCGAGCUGGGUUCAGAACGUCGUGAGACAGUUCGGUCCCUAUCCGUCGUGGGCGUAGGAAAUUUGAGAGGAGCUGUCCUUAGUACGAGAGGACCGGGAUGGACGCACCGCUGGUGUACCAGUUGUUCUGCCAAGGGCAUAGCUGGGUAGCUAUGUGCGGAAGGGAUAAGUGCUGAAAGCAUCUAAGCAUGAAGCCCCCCUCAAGAUGAGAUUUCCCAUAGCGUUAAGCUAGUAAGAUCCCUGAAAGAUGAUCAGGUUGAUAGGUUCGAGGUGGAAGCGUGGUGACACGUGGAGCUGACGAAUACUAAUAGAUCGA